AGGGCAGUGCCUGGGUGACAGCCCCUCGAGGGAGAACUCCUUCUUGCUCUUCUUCUGCCACAGGGCGAUGCUUAGCAGGAAGCAGACGCUGGAGGGCAGGGUUUGAGAGCUUAGAACAAACCAGCAAUGGGAGGUACAUAAGCUGCUGAGCAGACCACAGCAGGUCGCAGAGCUAAGCACCCGCAAGAACUGAGCGGUACCUCACUGUCAGGAGGCAGGGAGGAAUGAAGAAGGUGACAAUACCCUCCAUCCCUCAGAUCUAAGCUGGAGGCAGUGAGGUGUGUGAACGUGUCCCCUCUUGCUGAACCCCGUGGUGGGCUCCGGCUGGCCCUGGAUUCCCUCCCACCUCAUUCAUCACACACCCAUUACAGUGCCCUCCGCCUCUCUCGGAUCCUGGGCAGCUGUGGGCCCCAGGUGAGUUAGGCAGGGCCUGGGACUAGUGCUAACUUAGCAUCGGCACCAUGUGGGAGCUGGUUGAGAAGAAAGAUUGUCAGGCCCCAUCCCAGACCUGCUGAAUCAGAGUUUUCAGGAGCCGGGUUUCGACCCAGGAAGUUGUAAGCCCUCUGGUGCGUCUCAUUUAUGCUGCAGUUUGAGACUCGUUGCUGUUUGAGACUCGACUAAUCAGACACUCGCUGAUUAGGGUGUGAUGGCAAGACCUGAACACACAUCCAGAAAUGCAGACUAGAGGCCCACUGAAGGAGAAACUGCGUUUUCACCAGAUCCCCCCCAGGGAUUUGUUUGCAUCUUACGGUGUGAAGACACCCUGGUCUAGAAUGUCACGGUCGAGCAGGAUAUCUGUGUAGGGUUCAAGAGAUGCACAGGAAGGAAGGAGAGUUGCCUGUGGCUCUUGGUGUUGACUGCGCCUUGGUAGAUGAAGCAUCCAGCUCUGCUGUUUGGGGAACAGGCUACUUUUGGGUCCCUCAAUAUCUUCACUUGCUCAGAACCAGAGAGCAAAGGGGACAGGUGAGGAGGGCAGGGGUGCUUACUUCUCUUCAGAUGAUUUGGAGCUUCAGAAAACUGGGUGAGCCAUGAAUACCACAGAAGUUCUGCGGAGGUGGCAAGGACCAAGCACCUGUUGCGGUGACACCGUCGUCCUGGUCAGCACCAGUUGGACCAUUUCCACAAGCAGGUACUGGGUGCAAGGUGCUUUCAGGGCCACCUCACCUGACCCCCUGUCCAUGUGUGAUGUUUGCAGAAGAGGAAGCCAAGCUUAGUGCCAACGACCUGGACUCAGAGUUCAGUCCUUCGAAGCUGAAAGGGAUAUCUUCCCAGGGAGGCUGGGCCUUGACUGCAGAUGGGGUGUAGACCAGCAGAGAGGGAAGAGGGUGGGACUGAGGCGGGCAGGUCUGAGCCCCACAUGGGGCUUGAAUGGGAGGUUUGGGGCAGAAAGAGAGGCCCAAGAAAUGCAACUGGAAACCCUGGAGUUGGAUGAGGCCUCUGGGAUUUUCCAAUCCAGCCUCCUACCUGCAGACAGAGUUCUCCUUAUUCUCAAGUAAAAUUUAUAUUACUGUUCUCUAUGGAUGGCUAUUUCUGUGAUUUGUCUCGUGUAACCAACCACCUGGACUUGCAUGCACACAAGCAGGCUAAGAAAUGUUGUUUAUGAGACUUGUGCCAUGUAAAUGACCUUGGGAACCUGGUUAAAAUAUAUUAUCUGGUUUCUAGGUCAGAACUGGCCGGGACACCAGUUCUGUUCUGGACACCAAGAGCUACGAAUCUGGUCUCAUAUCCCCUCUUGAUCCAGGCUGAGCUGCCUAUCUCCCCACCUCCGUGAAAGGAAACUGGAUGCGGGAAGGCAGACACACACAGCCCAGGCUCCUUGAAACUAUAAAAUUAUGAUUGCAUAGAAAUGCAACUCGCUCCAAACUGCAUGUAGGCCAACAAGUGUUUAACUUCCAACCCUGUCAUUUGCCCCAUAAUAUGGCCCUCAUGGGGAUGGUCAGGUGGAAGUCUCUCACCUGAGGGGAGGAUGCUCCACCCAGGCCUCUUGAUCCAUCAGGACUCCAGCUGCACUGACUCCACCAGGCUUCCCCAGCUGCUGAGGUCGGAUGUUGUAAGUACUGCAUUUGAUGAAACUUUGCCUUAUUCUCAUGUAUUACCUACUAUUCCCUUCAUCUACGUGUAGAUUCCUUUCCUCUUCUAUUAGGUUUCUGUGAUAAUGAUAUAAUUUUUUUUCCUUUUUGAAAUUGAAAACAUAGCUGUUAUGAGUCUUUUUCCCAGAACAAUUACAAAAAUGUGUCCUUCCUUUAUUCUUUUACCUGUUUAAUAGGUAUUCACCUGGUGCCAUCAGUAUGCAGGCAUGGGGUGGCAGGGCAAGCAGGGGAAGCAGGGCAGGCCUGGCUUCUGACCCCCGGGGAGCUGCCCUUGCAGAGGGCCCCAGGC
rnacentral:lncRNA from 1 species